rnacentral:rRNA from 1 species
CUCAAAUUUGAAUCUGGGGUCGCCAGACCUCCGAGUUGUAAUUUGGAGAGGCAUCUUCGGGGAGGAGCGCCGGCCCAUGUUCCUUGGAACAGGACGUCGCAGAGGGUGAGAAUCCCGUGCCAGGCCGGCUGCCUCCUCCAUUGUGAAGUGCCUUCGACGAGUCGAGUUGUUUGGGAAUGCAGCUCCAAGUGGGUGGUAAAUUUCAUCUAAAGCUAAAUACCGGCGGGAGACCGAUAGCGCACAAGUAGAGUGAUCGAAAGAUGAAAAGCACUUUGAAAAUAGAGUCAAAAAGUACGUGAAAUUGUUGAAAGGGAAGCGCUUGAGACCAGACUCGGGCCCGGGCAAACAUCGCGCCCCUCGGGGCCGUGCAAUUGCCUGGGGCCGGGCCAGCAUCAGUUGGCGCGGCGGGACAAAGGCGCGGGGAAUGUGGCUCCCCUCGGGGAGUGUUAUUAGCCCCGCGCUCAAUGCCGCCGACGUCGACUGAGGACAGCGCCUCGGCCUGGAUGCUGGCUUAAUGGCCUUCAGCGACCCGUCUUGAAACACGGACCAAGGAGUCUAACAUCUAUGCGAGUGUUUGGGCGUCAAACCCUUGCGCGGAAUGAAAGUGAGCGGAGGUGGGAACCCCCUCGCGGGGCGCACCAUCGACCGAUCCUGAUGUCUUCGGAUGGAUUUGAGUAGGA